rnacentral:rRNA from 1 species
CACGUAGGAGGCGAGCGUUGUCCGGAAUCAUUGGGCGUAAAGAGCGCGCAGGCGGCUUGGCAAGUCGGGUGUGAAAUCCCGGGGCUCAACCCCGGGACUGCAUUCGAUACUGUCAGGCUAGAGGUAGGUAGGGGAGAUCGGAAUUCCUGGUGUAGCGGUGAAAUGCGCAGAUAUCAGGAGGAACACCAAUUGCGAAGGCAGUGCUCUGGGCCGGAACUGACGCUGAGGAGCGAAAGCGUGGGUAGCGAACAGG